rnacentral:misc_RNA from 1 species
CUGAAUCUCCACACAAAGGAGGUUGCAGCUCAUCGUGCCGCAGCACCGCUUCCUGAUGUUUUCUACACGCCUGCAAGCGGCUCUCUCUCCGUGCAGAACUGCUUCUGCCUUCAGCGUCUGUGAGUGCUUGAUUAGAGGAGAGGGUCGCUGAUUCAAGGUGAACGAUGCCGUCCUUGGUGUGGCUCGGGCGGGCGUGGCGGGUCGGCUCCGAUGACUUCGCCUUCUCAAGCGUCUUGCACGCCAUGCUGCUCGCUGGCAGCGCCGCCCUCGUCGCAUGCCGGGUGAACACCGCUCGACUCAACUGCCUCGACGACUGCGAUGGCGCCAGUGUCACGUGGGGGCGUGCCAUGAUGGGACUUUUCUUCGCGAACCUUGUCGGCGCAGCUCCGUUUUUGCUUACCGCAGUCUACAGUCUGCGCGGUGGCGUCUUUGAGAUCUCCAAACGGAAGGCGGUGCCUAAGCUGCUGUACAUCAACACCGCCUGCAUAGCGUGGAUCUUUCUGCUUUCUUGCCUGGGUGCCAAGCACGCCAUUAUUGACGGCGAGGCCAGUUACUGCACCCGGGCGUCGACGCGGCACAUGCUGCGUGGCGCCAUCAUGAUUGACCUCAUUAACUGUGUGCUCUACAUUGCCUUGCUCAUCGUCGCAUUCGAUCCUAGCGGACGACGCGUGUACCAAAGCAGCAGCGACUACACCAACGCGUGGUGGAACCGGUUCCGCAUUUGCUGCUGCCGCUUCGGGAAGUGGAACCAGGCGGAGGACGCCUACAUACACCUCGCACAGGUCUUCGCCAUUGCGUUUCGCGGGUACGACAUCGUGCCCAGCGACAUUGCCGCGGGCAUCCUCCUCUUGCACGGCUAUCAGAGCCGCUCUCGCCGAUUGCUAUCUCGUCUGGUCAACUACGGGCCCAACCCGAAAGGGUAUCAUGAGCGCCUGUCGAGCCAGGCCAGGCCGGCGCAGCGCCUCACACCUGAACAGCGCGCCUGGGCGCAUGAGCUGCAGCAGUACAGUCGGUUCUUCAUUGCGGCGUACGGAUGGCUCCUCUUUGAGUUCCAGCAUUUCGGCUCAGGCCUUGCGCGACUCUGCUGUUUUGACCCGUGCAUGUGCUGCCGGCACCACCCUGGCCGGCACAUUGGUCAGAGCUGCUUUUGCGACGUGGCUGCGCUCCUGCACGAGACUCUCGUUCCCGAGGCCGAUGUGCUGCUCACGAGCUGGGAAAACAGGGUCUUCAAGCCGGUGCACUAUGUCGCCUACGACCGCAGCAGCGACGCCGUCGUAAUCGCAAUCCGUGGCAGCAUGUCAAUCGAAGACUGUGUCACGGACCUUGCCGCGCUGCCCGUGACACUGUCGCUGCGCGACACGCCGCCCGACGUGCCUAUCAGCGAAUACUAUGCACACGGUGGCAUGGUGCGGUGUGCCUACUACGUGCUCGACAAUCUCUGCGAGCACGGUAUUCUGCAGCAGCUUCUGCGCGGCAGCUUUGCUGGGAAAAAGGUAGUGGUGCUGGGGCACUCGCUCGGUGCCGGAGUUGCUCUCAUUCUGUCAGCGAUCCUUUGGUCUGAUCACACGGUGCUACGGAACCGCCUGCGCUGUCUCGCCUAUGCACCGCCUGGCGGAACCGUUUCGAAGUCGCUGAUGGAGUACCAGAAGGGCUUUGUGGCGGCAGCGUGCAUGGGCUACGAUAUGAUUCCGCGUCUGGCGCAACACACCUUUGACUCCUUCCGUGAGGCCAUCUUCGACGUUCUGGCCGCCUCGGCUAUGAACAAGAACAUGAUCUUCAUGAAUGUCCUGCGCACCAGCACGAUUGCAAAGUCGUUCCACCCAUCCACUUCGGCUGACUUUCAGCAGAGGCGCUCGGCGGAGAGCGCGUCGCUCCGUGAAUUCCUGCAGAGCACCUCGUUCGUGCCGACGUAUGAGACUCAGAAGCUGUACAACUGUAGUCUGAUGAUACACUACGUCAAGGUUGUCGAGGUGUGCACCAACACCUGGUGCUUGCCUGGCUGCCAGCGUUGCGAGGAGGUGUACAUUCCCGUCGUGCAGGACUUCAAGGCGGUGCAGAUGGUGCUGGCGUCGCCGAGAAUGCUGACAGACCACUUCCCUGACCGUCUCUUUCGCAUUAUGCAGAGGUCGAUGGAGCUCUUCGACAAGGGCGAGCUUGAUCGCUUCUACGUGGACGACAUAUCAAACCUAGCCCCGUGCUUGGAGGAGGCCCCGAUGCACUACGUGGAGAGCACGCCGAAUACGACGGAGACUGCCUCGCUCAUCAGUUACGGCGCCGCGUAGUGCGGCACUGGCCACCCCUGCUUAAGUGCACCAUCUCUCCCGCUGUCUCUGAUGGUGAAUGCGUCGGGCGCCAGUGAUCAAAAGUUCUGUGGCGUCGUCUCGCGUGUUACCGGCAUCCUCCCUCCCGACCCGAUCCCUUGCCUUCCACACUGCCCACGUGACUCUCUGUCCGGACGGCCAACGAACUUCUGGAGCGCGUGGAGAGGAGUGCAGCGCCUUUUGUCACGCUCACCUUCUUCGACCUCGCUCUUCCUUACCCGUGUCUUUGCUGCGGGCCUGUUUUGCAUUAUAGGUUUGCGUCUGUCUGAUGCUGCUGCUGGUUAUCUUUCUGUAUGCGUCUUGUUGCGCGUGCUAUCUUGCAGUGAGCGGGCUCGGCCCGCUCCAAUCGCCCGUUUGACCUUCGUUUUUUUUUUCUGCGCAGCGCGUGCUGCUGUUUCGCAGAGUCUCUCGAUGUGUACGCGUUGUAAGGAGCUGCUAGGAAUCGUAGGAAUUCCCGCUUCGUCCUCAUGCUUCAUCCCUUCAUUCC